UUCGUGGCUUCUUUGUAAACUUAAAACGACUCUCGGCAACGGAUAUCUCGGCUCACGCAUCGAUGACUGAACGCUGGAUUAUGACUGAACGCCUCUAAGUCAGAAUCCGGGCUAGAAGCGACGCGUGUGCCCGUCGCCUGUUUGCCGACCAGCAGUAGGGGCCUCGGCCCCCAAAGGCACGUGUGGUAGGCUAAGCUCGCGUGGCGGACGAGCCGCGCGGGCCGCCUUGAAGUACAAUUCCCAUCAAGCGACGGGUAGAAUCCUUUGCAGACGACUUAAAUACGUGACGGGGUAUUGUAAGUGGCAGAGUGGCCUUGCUGCCACGAUCCACUGAGAUUCAGCCCUGCGUCGCUCAGAUUC
rnacentral:ncRNA from 1 species